CCGUCGUACUGCCGGAGAAGGCGCCUGAGAGAUAGCGACUAUAUCCACGGGUAGCAGCAGGCGCGAAACUUACCCACUCGAGACUAUCGGAGGUGGUAAUGACCAGUUAUAAUUAAGGAAUUUUCCUUAUUAUAUAGGAAUAUACUUUUCCAGUAUAUUGUAACCUAGCAGAGGGCCAGUCUGGUGCCAGCAGCUGCGGUAAUUCCAGCUCUGCAAGUUUGCUCCCAUAUUGUUGUAGUUAAAACGCUCGUAGUCUGAAUUAUUUUAAUUUAAAUUUUUUAAAUUAAAAUUUAGUUUUUAUUUUAUAAAAACGUUCACUGUGAACAAAUCAGAACGCUUAAAGUAAUUUUCUUUAUUGAAUGAUUUAGCGCAGUAUGAAAUUUUUACUUUUUAAAUUUUAAUUAAUUUAACAAGUAAUAUCAAAGAGAAUAAUCGGGGAUAGAUCUAUUUCAUGGCGAACAGCGAAAUGUUUUGACCCAUGAGAGAGAAACGAAGGCGAAAGCAUCUAUCAAGUGUAUUUCUAUCGAUCAAGGGCGAGAGUAGGAGUAUCCAACCGGAUCAGAGACCCGGGUAGUUCCUACCUUAAACUAUGCCGACAAGGUUUUGUUUUUUUUAAUAAAAGCAGUACCAUAGGAGAAAUCAUAGUUCAUGGGCUCUGGGGGAACUACGACCGCAAGGCUGAAACUUGAAGGAAUUGACGGAAGGGCACACCAGGGGUGGAGCUUGUGGCUUAAUUUGAAUCAACACGGGAAAACUUACCAGGACCAGAUAUUUUUAAUGACUGAUCAGGCUAUAGGUCUUUCAGGAUAUGAUUUUUGGUGGUGCAUGGCCGUUGGUGGUGCGUGGGUUGACCUGUCUAGCGUUGAUUCAGAUAACGAGCGAGAUUAUCACCAAUUAAAUAUAUAAAUAUUUUUAUUAAAAUAAUUUAUUUUCUAAUUGGGACUCCCUGCGUCUAAGCAGGAGGAAGAUGGUAGCAAUAACAGGUCCGUGAUGUCCUUUAGAUGCUCUGGGCUGCACGCGCGCUACAAUGUUAUAAUCAAAGAGGUUUGCUAAAUCGAUAGAUUAUCUUUUUUUUUAAAGAUUUCAUAGCUACUCUGUUAAUAUAUAACGUAGUUGGGAUUGAUAAUUGUAAUCAUUAUCAUGAACCAGGAAUCCCUUGUAAAUGCGUGUCAACAACGCGCGUUGAAUACGUCCCUGCCCUUUGUACACACCGCCCGUCGCUCCUACCGAUUGAAUGACUCGGUGAAAUCAUUAGAUCAUUUUUUAAAUGAAAAGGUGAUUAAAUCACGUUAUUUAGAGGA
rnacentral:rRNA from 1 species